AGAUUAUACAGGAUGCACGCCUGCUCGUAGCUAAUGUCAUCGUGCGUAACCGUCUUCCCCGAGAAGAUCUCCGUCCUACACCAGGAGGAGCAAACAAGAUCAUUCAGAUAAGAGUACAUGUAAAUCCAGAGCUUCACACAACUACAUUAAAUACCAGCAGGUAUGAAGACGCUUCAGCUGGUCACGAUUCUGCUCCUGCUGUCUGGUGUUCUCACUAAGAACAGUGACAAAUGGGGAGUCAAUUAUAUUACAUAUCCAAUCUGUGCUGUGAGAGGAUUCAAUGUCUCCAUUCCCUGUAGUUAUUAUUAUCCAACAUCAACAUUCAGGUGACACAAAUGCUUUGGUGCUCAAUGAACUCAAACACAGGUGUGUGUAAGGAACCUCCAUAUGUUUAUAACAGCAUCAAACACCACCUCAGACUUUGAGUUCACUGGAAACAACAAAUCAGACUGUACUUUAUUAAUCCACAAUGUACAGUUUAAUUAUUCUGGAGUCUAUAAAUUCAGAUUUAUAACUAAUUUGGAUAGAUGGACAGGAGACCCUGGAGUUACUCUACAAGUUGCAGAUUUAAAGGUGUCACCAAACACGUUCAGUGGAAACGAACCUUCAAACCAGGAGACUCGUUAAAUCUGACGUGUGAUGUGAACUGCACACAAAGUUCCUCACAGUUUUUGUG